rnacentral:rRNA from 1 species
CAGUCGCCGCGGUAAUACGAAGGGGGCUAGCGUUGUUCGGAUUUACUGGGCGUAAAGGGCGCGUAGGCGGACUGAUAAGUCAGGGGUGAAAUCCCAAGGCUCAACCUUGGAACUGCCUUUGAUACUGUUUGUCUUGAGUUCGAGAGAGGUAAGUGGAACUGCGAGUGUAGAAGUGAAAUUCGUAGAUAUUCGCAAGAACACCAGUGGCGAAGGCGGCUUACUGGCUCGAAACUGACGCUGAGGCGCGAAAGCGUGGGGAGCAAACAGGAUUAGAUACCCCUGUAGUCCCUGUCUCUUAUAC